UUGACCUCGGAUCAGGCAGGGAUACCCGCUGAACUUAAGCAUAUCAAUAAGCGGAGGAAAAGAAACCAACAGGGAUUGCCUCAGUAACGGCGAGUGAAGCGGCAACAGCUCAAAUUUGAAAUCUGGCUCUUUUAGGGUCCGAGUUGUAAUUUGUAGAGGAUGCUUCGGCGUCGGCUCCGGUCUAAGUUCCUUGGAACAGGACGUCAUAGAGGGUGAGAAUCCCGUAUGUGAUCGGUUGCCUUGCCAUGUGAAGCUCCUUCGACGAGUCGAGUUGUUUGGGAUGCAGCUCUAAAUGGGAGGUAAAUUUCUCUAAAGCUAAUACUGGCCA
rnacentral:rRNA from 1 species